GGCAGUUCUCGGGUGAUGCACCCCGGAAUCGGGCUCCCUCCUCUCUGGUUUUAGGGUAUGUCACUUGAGAACCGCU
rfam:Myotis davidii contig125736, whole genome shotgun sequence.